ACUCCGGGGCUACAUUGGCAGAGACAGUGUGCUCAGGCUAGAUUUCAGGAGAGCUGCUCCUGUGUACUCCCCCAGCACCCAGACUCACCUUAUAUUCGUGAGUGAACUGAUGUUCAUGAACAUGAGCUUAUAAAUGUGUUGUUUAUCAUGAAGUAUCACGGACUAUCGUUAAGUCUGUUUCCUGUGUCUCUCAAGAGAUGAAGGAGAAAAGGCCUAUCUCUGUCGAUGUUGAAUCAUGGGAGCAGGGAGUAUCCUGAGUAGGACUGAGAGGUUCAGAAAGGAGUCAGGCUCAAGCUUCAAGGGGAUGUGUGCCUGACCACCCACCAGCCAACAGUGCAACUCUGGAUACUCCAGCCAUGAUGUCCUGGUCAUGCUAGUCAAGAAUGGUUCCCUCAUCCCAGCCCCUGACUUGGGUUUGCAACAUGUCCUGGAACCUGGACCACCAGCACCAGAUGCUGCUGCUACAAAAUUCCUGAACAAGAUGCGAAAGUGUUUCAGCUGAGCCUUGAGAGGUGAAAGUACCUGUGCACCUGUCCCCUGGAUGGGACAACUUGAGGAAGGGCCAUCCAUAUUCCCAUUCCCUACCCAGGACACUGCUAAUGUGCAUAUGAGGAGAACACAAGACCCCAACCUGCUGCAGGGUGGAGAGUAGAGACAACUGGAGCUUUCCGCAUAACACUUGUGCAUUCCUUCUGCAGGCUUCAAAAGCCUAAUCUGUGAUUUUAGACACAAGACAGGAGGAGACUGAGAGGAAUCCUUUGAUCCAAUACAGCAGGAGAAGACUAUCAUCCCAAUCGCUUAAGUGGAGCUCCUCCUGGAGAGUUCCCCUUUCAAAACCUGCAAAACCUUUCAUUUUUUUUUUAGUCAUAUUCUUUAAAAUUCAUAAAAUGUUGCAACAAUAAAAAUGAGUAUUAUAAAAGUUGUUUGAUAGAAAACAACUAUCAAUUGAACAAUCUUAUGUAGCUGUUUGUGUACUGCAAUACUGAAAAUACAUACAUUUUUCUCAAUAUAAAUUUUAAAUAACUCCAAAUAUAUUAACUGUAUGUUAUUUUAAAAUAAUAUGUCACUAUUAGUUUUUGUAAUGAACAUAAAUAAAGUCUUUUUGUUUGCUUUGUUUUUAGUAGAGUUUAAAA